AGAUUGAACGCUGGCGGCAUGCCUAACACAUGCAAGUCGAACGGCAGCGCGGGUAGCAAUACCUGGCGGCGAGUGGCGGACGGGUGAGGAAUACAUAGGAAUCUACCCUGUCGUGGGGGAUAACGUAGGGAAACUUACGCUAAUACCGCAUACGACCGAGAGGUGAAAGCGGCGGACCGCAAGGCGUCGCGCGGCUGGAUGAGCCUAUGUCCGAUUAGCUAGUUGGCGGGGUAAGAGCCCACCAAGGCGACGAUCGGUAGCUGGUCUGAGAGGAUGAUCAGCCACACUGGGACUGAGACACGGCCCAGACUCCGUACGGGAGGCAGCAGGUGGGGAAUAGUUGGGAACAAGUGGGCGCAAGCCCUGAUCCAGCAAGUCGCCGCGUGUGUGAAGAGGUCCGUUGGUAGAAGUCUACGUUUUUGAACGGUAAGAAAGUCCGUUAGGUUAACGUACCCG
rnacentral:rRNA from 1 species